rnacentral:rRNA from 1 species
AACAGGAUUAGAUACCCUGGUAGUCCACGCCGUAAACGAUGAGUGCUAGGUGUUAGGGGGUUUCCGCCCCUUAGUGCUGAAGUUAACGCAUUAAGCACUCCGCCUGGGGAGUACGGCCGCAAGGCUGAAACUCAAAAGAAUUGACGGGGGCCCGCACAAGCGGUGGAGCAUGUGGUUUAAUUCGACGCAACGCGAAGAACCUUACCAGGUCUUGACAUCCUCUGACAACUCCAGAGAUGGAGCUUUCCCUUCGGGGACAGAGUGACAGGUGGUGCAUGGUUGUCGUCAGCUCGUGUCGUGAGAUGUUGGGUUAAGUCCCGCAACGAGCGCAACCCUUGAUCUUAGUUGCCAGCAUUCAGUUGGGCACUCUAAGGUGACUGCCGGUGACAAACCGGAGGAAGGUGGGGAUGACGUCAAAUCAUCAUGCCCCUUAUGACCUGGGCUACACACGUGCUACAAUGGAUGGAACAGAGGGAAGCGAAACCGCGAGGUCAAGCAAAUCCCAUAAAACCAUUCUCAGUUCGGAUUGCAGGCUGCAACUCGCCUGCAUGAAGCCGGAAUCGCUAGUAAUCGCGGAUCAGCAUGCCGCGGUGAAUACGUUCCCGGGCCUUGUACACACCGCCCGUCACACCACGAGAGUUGGUAACACCCGAAGUCGGUGAGGUAACCUUUUUGGAGCCAGCCGCCGAAGGUGGGACUGAUGAUUGGGGUGAAGUCGU